rnacentral:rRNA from 1 species
UGUGAACUCGAAGAGUAGGGCGGGACACGUGGUAUCCUGUCUGAAUAUGGGGGGACCAUCCUCCAAGGCUAAAUACUCCUGACUGACCGAUAGUGAACCAGUACCGUGAGGGAAAGGCGAAAAGAACCCCGGCGAGGGGAGUGAAAAAGAACCUGAAACCGUGUACGUACAAGCAGUAGGAGCCCACUUGUUGGGUGACUGCGUACCUUUUGUAUAAUGGGUCAGCGACUUAUAUUCUGUAGCAAGGUUAACCGUAUAGGGGAGCCGCAGGGAAACCGAGUCUUAACUGGGCGUUAAGUUGCAGGGUAUAGACCCGAAACCCGGUGAUCUAGCCAUGGGCAGGUUGAAGGUUGGGUAACACUAACUGGAGGACCGAACCGACUAAUGUUGAAAAAUUAGCGGAUGACUUGUGGCUGGGGGUGAAAGGCCAAUCAAACCGGGAGAUAGCUGGUUCUCCCCGAAAGCUAUUUAGGUAGCGCCUCGUGAAUUCAUCUUCGGGGGUAGAGCACUGUUUCGGCUAGGGGGUCAUCCCGACUUACCAACCCGAUGCAAACUACGAAUACCGAAGAAUGUUAUCACGGGAGACACACGGCGGGUGCUAACGUCCGUCGUGAAGAGGGAAACAACCCAGACCGCCAGCUAAGGUCCCAAAGUCAUGGUUAAGUGGGAAACGAUGUGGGAAGGCCCAGACAGCCAGGAUGUUGGCUUAGAAGCAGCCAUCAUUUAAAGAAAGCGUAAUAGCUCACUGGUCGAGUCGGCCUGCGCGGAAGAUGUAACGGGGCUAAACCAUGCACCGAAGCUGCGGCAGCGACACUAUGUGUUGUUGGGUAGGGGAGCGUUCUGUAAGCCGUUGAAGGUGGCCUGUGAGGGUUGCUGGAGGUAUCAGAAGUGCGAAUGCUGACAUAAGUAACGAUAAUGCGGGUGAAAAACCCGCACGCCGGAAGACCAAGGGUUCCUGUCCAACGUUAAUCGGGGCAGGGUGAGUCGACCCCUAAGGCGAGGCCGAAAGGCGUAGUCGAUGGGAAACAGGUUAAUAUUCCUGUACUUGGUGUUACUGCGAAGGGGGGACGGAGAAGGCUAUGUUGGCCGGGCGACGGUUGUCCCGGUUUAAGCGUGUAGGUGUGUGUUCCAGGUAAAUCCGGUUCACUUUAACACUGAGGCGUGAUGACGAGGCACUACGGUGCUGAAGUGACAAAUGCCCUGCUUCCAGGAAAAGCCUCUAAGCAUCAGGUAACAUCAAAUCGUACCCCAAACCGACACAGGUGGUCAGGUAGAGAAUACCAAGGCGCUUGAGAGAACUCGGGUGAAGGAACUAGGCAAAAUGGUGCCGUAACUUCGGGAGAAGGCACGCUGAUAUGUAGGUGAAGUGGUUUACCCAUGGAGCUGAAAUCAGUCGAAGAUACCAGCUGGCUGCAACUGUUUAUUAAAAACACAGCACUGUGCAAACACGAAAGUGGACGUAUACGGUGUGACGCCUGCCCGGUGCCGGAAGGUUAAUUGAUGGGGUUAUCCGUAAGGAGAAGCUCUUGAUCGAAGCCCCGGUAAACGGCGGCCGUAACUAUAACGGUCCUAAGGUAGCGAAAUUCCUUGUCGGGUAAGUUCCGACCUGCACGAAUGGCGUAAUGAUGGCCAGGCUGUCUCCACCCGAGACUCAGUGAAAUUGAACUCGCUGUGAAGAUGCAGUGUACCCGCGGCAAGACGGAAAGACCCCGUGAACCUUUACUAUAGCUUGACACUGAACACUGGUCCUUGAUGUGUAGGAUAGGUGGGAGGCUUUGAAGUGUGGACGCCAGUCUGCAUGGAGCCAUCCUUGAAAUACCACCCUUUAAUGGCUGGUGUUCUAACGUGGGCCCGUAAUCCGGGUUGCGGACAGUGUCUGGUGGGUAGUUUGACUGGGGCGGUCUCCUCCUAAAGAGUAACGGAGGAGCACGAAGGUCAGCUAAUCCUGGUCGGACAUCAGGAGGUUAGUGCAAUGGCAUAAGCUGGCUUGACUGCGAGCGUGACGGCGCGAGCAGGUGCGAAAGCAGGUCAUAGUGAUCCGGUGGUUCUGAAUGGAAGGGCCAUCGCUCAACGGAUAAAAGGUACUCCGGGGAUAACAGGCUGAUACCGCCCAAGAGUUCAUAUCGACGGCGGUGUUUGGCACCUCGAUGUCGGCUCAUCACAUCCUGGGGCUGAAGUAGGUCCCAAGGGUAUGGCUGUUCGCCAUUUAAAGUGGUACGCGAGCUGGGUUUAGAACGUCGUGAGACAGUUCGGUCCCUAUCUGCCGUGGGCGCUGGAGAAUUGAGGGGGGCUGCUCCUAGUACGAGAGGACCGGAGUGGACGCAUCACUGGUGUUCGGGUUGUCAUGCCAAUGGCAUUGCCCGGUAGCUAAAUGCGGAAGAGAUAAGUGCUGAAAGCAUCUAAGUACGAAACUUGCCCCGAGAUGAGUUCUCCCUGACUCCUUGAGAGUCCUGAAGGAACGUUGAAGACGACGACGUUGAUAGGCCGGGUGUGUAAGCGCAGCGAUGCGUUGAGCUAACCGGUACUAAUGAACCGUGAGGCUUAACCUU